AAUGUCUUUGGACAUUGAGCACAGACUUUAACAUCAGCUGGUAUCGAUCAUCUCCAGAUUACCACGGCAACAGAGAAAGACAAAAUGAACAUCAUUCUCCUGACGGCCAUCAUCGUCACCUUAGCCCCUGUUUGCGGGGGGCAAAGCGUGUUUGAUGGCAACAUCACGGACUGGUCCGACUUCUCUGACCAGACCUCCCUCCACUUACGACCCUGUCAGAGAGGGAACAGCAUCGGCAACUAUAAAACAUUCGUCCACAGACACAUCCUUCAAGAGUACUUUGACAGAAAUUCUAAACAUCAGUGGAAAAGGUAUUUACACAGAAAAGGACUCUGUGGCAGAACUCUGGUGCAGACCUUCAUCGAUGCCGGAGUGGGAGCUGUCCAGCAGAUCUGCGGCUGGUCAGGCCGGCGCCUGAAGGGUCACUCAGGUAACUUGUGCAUCAGCACGUCAUGCAUGCGGUUGUAUGAUGUCAGAUCUAGCCACAAUUGCCGUUGUAUUAGGGUACGAAAAUACCAAAAGCAAGUGAUUGUGGCAUGUGAUAAGGUUUAUAAUCAGUGCCUCCCUGUCCAUUUUGAGAGAAACAGAGGCCAAAGACCGAGCAAUAGACCCUGUGCUUGAGUUUCUGGAGGGUCAGUGGACACUCAGUUCCAGUUGUCAGGUUUAUUAUUCCUUGACAUCUAAAUAUUUCUAUCAAGCUUUGCCAAAUGAUUUUUGCUCAUAAAAAUAUAAAGAAAUAUUGGCAUGGGAUUUUUUUUUUUAAGCAACACAUUCUUUCUGCCCCCACGAGCAUGUUGUCAAGAUGAAUAUGUGCUGUGCAUAACAGAAAAAAAUGUUUUAUUAUAUAAAUGAUGUGAUUUAAAUUAGGAUUCAAUCUUCCUAUUAAGAAUGUUUUCUGCUGUGACAGAAGUACAUUUUAUGCUAAAGCUCAUUUACAACUUAAAGAAAAACUGUAAACUACUGGUACAUAAACGUAAAACCCAAAGUUUUGUUUUCAGAUGGAUUAAUAUUCGCUCGACCACUUGAAAUUAAUUUUUCUGUAAUUUGUAUCAGUUAAAUCCUUUUGCAUAGAUUGGUUUUGUCAAACUGUGUUGUAAUCCUUUUUUUUAAUUGCUUCGUAUACAGUCAAAUUCCUUCUGUCAAAAUGAUUCUCAUGUAAGAUUACUAUCAUGUCUUUCUUUUGGCAAAAAAAAAAUGUUUGAAUCUGUGAAAUCUGUGAUUAUUUUAUUCUUUAAGACGCAUAUCAUUAAUGAUAGCUGGUUGCUGAUGCUGUUUUCUGAGUUCAUUUUUGUUCAUGUGAAGAACUGAUAUUUUCUUCUGUGUUCUGCAGAACUCACAAUAAAUACUGCAAAUUGA